UUCCUCCAUUUCCGCUCGGCUGCCCGGAGCCCUGUUCUACACAACUUGUGUGAGUGAGAGGAAGCACAAGCACCACCACCAGUGAACUUACACCACUGCCACCAGUCAGCCUACACCACUGUUGUUACUAUGACAACUAGCGUAGCCAUGUCAGCAAAUGACUACUGUCACGAAUCUGAUUUGGUCGCUUGUAACUUGCUGUUUGGACAGUCAGUAUUCCAAAACGGAUUUGAAAAACAAAACUGAUUUGAACAUUAAGGCCUGCAGUGUGAACAAACCGUGGCAGAGGUCGAGUUCCUCCUGCCUGACUAGAUGUGCAGGUGUUGCAUUGCAUCAACCAAUUGUUCCAUGCCACAUCAACUGUGCAGUCAGGCAUCAGAUUGGUAUAACGUAUAAUUUUGGUUACCUGAUAUGUUAAAUACAUAUCCAGGUUUUGAAAGAUCUGGCAUGCGUCAGCAAUGUAGUUGGGCAGGAACUUGAGUUGCUUGAGUACCAACAGUUUAUCUUGAAGCUGCAAUGUACUUCUGUAUUGAUGUUUCACAGGGGAAGUGAUGGAUAAUAUUAUUUUCAAUGCAAACAAGAUUUUUGUAGAGCUGGAGAUGAAUCGUAGUGUCAGACAUGGUACCGUCUGUCUCUGUGUGUGUUUCUGUCUGUCUUUGUCUUGAAAUUGGCUUUGUCUUCUCUCUUGUAAUGUCCACAGAAAAUGGUGGUCUACACUGAUUGGAGUAGAACUGGCAGUGGUGGUGGUGAUGAUGAUGAAAAGAAAAGGGUGGCUUUCACUGAUUGGAGUAGGACUGGCAGUGAUGGUGAUGAUGACUGCUACAGUCGAACUGCUAAGUCCUAGUUAAUUCUUUGGUCUUCCAUAGCUUUUAAUGUGUACUGUAUGUUUGUGUCGGUCAUUGUGGAGUAGCCUGCUCCAGCAGGACAUUUUAUCACUCUAGGCCUCCUGAAUAACCAGCUGCCAGGCAAUGUUUGUCAUUCUCGGCUAUUCUUAAUUUUUUGGUAACUGGAGAUGUGCCCAGCAUUUUUUAUAAAACACCCAUGUAUUCUCAGGAUUCUGCUGCAGGAUCCCCUUGCAUUUUGUCAUGUAAAACCAUCAUUCUAUUUAUUUUACCCUUCAUCUGUCAUUCAACCAUCUGCGCUUUCAUGUAAGGGGGCGGAGUCAGAAAACCAAGAGAUCGAUAAUCAUAAUAAUAUAAUUGAUUAAAUAAUAAUUAAUGGUAUGCUAUCAGAGAGCCAUGAAAGAUUAUGUGAAAAGUUGAUAUUAUUCAUAUGAAGUUAAUAUGAAAUAUAUUGUAUUGGUCUGGAGUGACGUAAUGGUCAGUCAGCAGUCCUCCCUCAUGGCAUUUAGGCCCCUCCCUCUUUCAGAAGAAUCGUUGCUAUGCGCUCAGUCGUUCACUCAUCCAACACCACUGCUCUUCCUACUGUAUAAAGUGCAUUUUCAAACAUC